rnacentral:lncRNA from 1 species
GGUGGAGAACACAGGUUUGCUCCUGGAAGUCAGGUGCUUAAGAGGGACAGUGAAAAGCUCACUGUAGUAGAAAGAUAGAGCUAGCUGAGCCGGCAAGUGUUUGCAGAGCGACUAAGUUUGAGUCUCAGAAGCCAUGUCCAAAAACCAGACGUGGUGGAGUGUGCUUGUAAUCCCAACUCUGGGGAGAUGGAGACAGGCAGAUCCCUGGAGCUUGCUGGACAGCCAGUCCAUAUCUAUGGGUAAGUCCCAGAUCAAUGAAAGACUAUCACAAACCAGGGUUCUUUCUUCAGAACAAAACAGAACGCAUGCCUUUACUUCCCCUUUAGUAGUGGGAACAGACAUGAGUGGUACCCCUGUUUCCCAUGUUGACUGGAUGCUCCAUGCACUUUGCUUUCCUGAUUUAAUCUUAUAAUCUUGAACAUCAUACUUCUAAGGUUCUCCAUGGAGGCUCCAGCUACUCAAGGUAGCACCCUUCUGGUGGGUGAAUCAGCACCAAUGUUUCUAGAGCCAUCAUGAUGCAAGUAGAAUGACCAAGCCAGCCUGACUUCUUCAUUUUGAACCACAGCCUCAGUUGAGCACCCUGUUUAUUUGAGGUCCUUACUCAUAUGUUCAGCUGCUUCUGGGCCUAUGAUCUCCUCCAGCUGGGGUGUCACCUUUACUGAGGGAGCGGGACCUUCCUCAGUAUCAUCAUGCCAUGUUGGAGUUUCUGUCCCCCACCCUACCCGGCUCCUGUCCAUCUCAUCUGAAGUUAUGCAAGUCUAGAGACAGAUGUAGAGUGGGUUCUGAGCCACCACAUCCUCCACUAUGUCUUUAUUAGGCAGGGUACACACCCUACCUAACCUAUUCCUCUUCUCCAUGGCCCCAAAGUAGAAGCCUUUUGGCAGGAGCUACCCAAA